rnacentral:rRNA from 1 species
AUGGAAAAGCUGCUCGCCGUAGUGUGUGUUUCAAGCCUUCUUCUAGCCGCUCUUGCGGACGAUGCCUCCUCCCGAUCUUCUCUUCAGUACCCCUCCCUGGACAGUCUACAAGGUCGUGUUCUAGGUCGCAAAGGCCGAGAAGAGCCAGCACACCACCAUUACCGGCGUGAAGGCGAGCACGAGCAGCAUCAUGAGGUUGUACCUAUGGGAGUGGAGAGUGCUGAAGAGAGGAAGAAGGCAGGCUGGAGGAACGAGGACGAGGACGCGGUUGCGACGGAAGGGUUGAUCUCCAGCGCGGACUACAGCGGCGUGGCCAUGCACGGCCACAGCUCCCUGCCGGCGCACAAAAAGCACCCCAAACCAUAG